CCUACGGGAGGCUGCAGUGGGGAAUAUUGCGCAAUGGGCGAAAGCCUGACGCAGCGACGCCGCGUGAGGGAUGAAGGUCUUCUGAUCGUAAACCUCUGUCAGCAGGGAAGAACGGUCCCUGUGCUAAUCAGCAGUGAAUUUACCGUACCUGCAAAGGAAGCACCGGCUCACUCCGUGCCAGCAGCCGCGGUAAUACGGAGGGUGCGAGCGUUAAUCGGAAUUACUGGGCGUAAAGCUCUCGUAGGCGGUAGGUCAAGUCAAGGGUGAAAUCCCCGCGCUCAACGUGGAAACUGCCGUUGACACUGGGAAACUGGAGUGUGUGAGAGGAUAGUGGAAUUCCAGGUGUAGGAGUGAAAUGCGUAGAUAUCUGGAGGAACAUCAGUGGCGAAGGCGACUAGCUGGAACAUAACUGACGCUGAGGAGCGAAAGCGUGGGUAGCAAACAGGAUUAGAUACCCCAGUAGUC
rnacentral:rRNA from 1 species